rnacentral:lncRNA from 1 species
GUUUAAUUUUUUGAAAAAUUUUGCCAUAGUUUCCCCAUAAAAAUGGAGGUUUCCAUGAUUUCAAAGGAUAUCAUUUGCUUUUAUAAAUCAUCACAAUCAGCAACAAAUAAACCAAUACUUACCCAUUUGCCAAAAUCAAGCAUUAAUCACUACUUUAUGAACUUGAAAAUUUACAAAAAUUUGUAGUAACUUACUAGUGUGUUUAAUAAGCUUAGUUACCCUUUAAAGUGUGGUUAUUGAUUUAAAAACAUCAUUAUUGAAGAAGUUAGAUGUUUACAACUUGUAAAUAAAUGUUCUAAAAUUUUUCUUCUUGAGUUUUUCUUGUUAAAUAUAUAUUUCUGCACUUGAUUAACCACUAAAAAUAUGGUUAAUCUCUUUAAGAACCAAGUUUAUGUAAAUCUUUUAUUUUUAACUUGAUUUCUUGGAAAAUCAUUCUUAAAAUCAUAGGUUUACAAGACUUUAUAUUCACUUUGAUCAUCAAUUUUUCAAGAAAAACAAUUUACACUUCAAGUUCAUGAUUUACACAAGGAUGAUCUAUUGAUCUACAACAUAAUCAUCAUCUCAUCUUGCUAGAUUAUGUCUUAAAUCACCAUCUAGCAAGCUAAUAUGAUGUUUAACAUCAUAAACACAAAUAAUCAACCAUCAAGAAGCAUAAUAACACUUAACAACAUGUUUUUUUAUGACUUUUAAGCUUAUGUUUAAGUUUCAUGUUCAUGAUUCAUAGUGUUCUUCAAGAUUAGUUACUUGUAUCAUUCUUUAACCAACUAAAUAAGAUGUAAAAAUGGAUGUAGAUGAUCUUACUACUAGCUCAAGGCUAGGUAUGAUCACAAGAUGAAGAAAGGGGUGGUUAAAAGCUUGUAUGAAAGGUCCUUCAACUUCCAAGAGUUCCUAGCUUCCUUAUAUUGAAUGAUGAUGAUGGUUGUGUGGGUGUGGGUUACGACCGUUAGGAAGGAGAGGGGAAGAAGAAGAGUGAGUGAAGCGUGAAGUGUGAGAAUAAUGAGGUUAUGAUCUUAGAGUUAAACUUAUAAUUCACCAACAAUUCAUUCUCUAAUAGCUAAUGUGUUAUAAAAGAAGAAACAUGAUCUAAUAUAAUAAAAAAAUAAAAUCACAUAUGGGCCAUGCUUGUCUAGCCGUGAAUAGGUGGGGCGGGUAUAAAUUAGGGCUUAAUGUCUAGUUAGAUCAUAUAGUUGAAAUCAAAUGUUAUAGUUAGGGUGUUUAGUUAUUAGGAUGUUACAUAGUGUGUUAUGAUGUUCGGGGACCAUAACUAGCUUGGAAAUGUUAAAACAAUACUUCUAGUGAAAAUUUGGUGUUUCGGGUAGUGUCUGAUUGUUCGGUUGAUUACCGGUUCGUUAAGGUGCUAAACUAUGCAGUUUAGUGUGCUUUAUGUUACCUUUUGUGAUAGGUUUGAUUCCCGACAAUUAGGAAGGCAUUCUGGACCAUUUAACCAUAUUUCUGCAUGAUAUUUAAGUGUUUAAAAGCAGAUUUUUGCUGAAUUCAGCAAUUUAAGUGAGUUUUAGACACUUUUCGGCACUUAAACUAUCACUAGGAAGGCAGUUUUAUGAUCCAUACUUUCCUACACACUAUACUAGUGUAACUCUUGGUUCUUGGCUCAUUUUGUGCCUUAAUACAAUGUCUGUCUAUGUACUGAACUCCGUCAGCAUUUUUUUCUGAUUUAUCUGAUAACUGUGCUACCUUUGUUUCGUGCAUCAUAUGAAUCAAUAAAUGUUGCAUGCAAUAAUGAUUUGACAUUUUUCAAUAUAGGAUGCACAUGUUUGUAUGAUAACAAAAUCAGAAAGCAGUUCAUGUCAUAAAUGGUAAAUCAACACAAUCAUUAAGUUUUAAUUAUUGUUUAAUAAUUGUACGGAUACCUGGAAUUUUGGCAGCUGUCACACUUGAGUCUAGGGUAUGAAAAGCCCGCCACUUUUGCGCUCUAAACCUCGGUUUUAGACCUAUCGCUUUUGUUCACUUCUCGCUUUUUAAAACCAAGUUUGAUACCUGCACCAAAUUAACAUGAACAUGAAGAUUAAGCUUUGUAGAGGAAAUAAUCAUAUAGGUUGGUUUCUUGAAAUCCUCUCAUGAACAUGGUUCACACGUAUUAUUUUUAGUGAUUUAAUGGGGCUUGUUCUCAUAGACUAGUUUUGCAAGCGCCAUGAUGCGUUCUUAAUCCCCAGAUGCUAGUUAUUUCGUUUUGUGUAUCAUUGAGGUUCAUUGGGCCAUGGACUCAUUAUGUAGUACCCAAUCUAUGGGGUACCAAGCAUGCACACCUUUAUAUCCCAAUAGAUAUAAAGUAAUGACAACGACAUCACGCGUUUAGGCACAUCUUGAGUAGACCCGAUCCUAACCUAUUUGGCCCAUCAUAUUCUCCCACCACCUAAAGGGAUGCCUAAAAAACAUAUCAUCCUAAUGUACAAUAACCAUUUCCAAUGAAUCGGGCCCUUGCUCUCCAUUGGUAACUGAUCCCGAUCCUUCCCUUAGGUUGGUCUAUCCCCGUGGAGAUAUGGUUCAACCCUUCACACACCCUCGAGUGAAACACGCGACUCCAUGCGCCUUAACAUUCCUAGGGAAUCUGUAAUUACCUCACCCACGAGCUUGAUUGGAUGACAUAGGUCUCCUUAGUAGAUUUUCUCCCACCACUGUUGCGUAUCCACCAUUUAUGAACUUUUUGGGAUAAGUGACAACUCGCCAAAGUUCCUAAAGAUUAAACCCGCUUUAAUAACACUUGCCAUGCAGUCGCCUUAUGAGUUCUGUGUGUUGCCCUUGAAUCUGAAGGACUAUGAUACACGUUGAGUCACUCCUAAUAGAUAUGUAAGAAUGAUAAUGAACCCACAUUUUAGCGCGUCAUGUUACGCUUAGGUUUACCUACGUAAAAUCACAAUCUCCAUUGGUAAUUUAAAAAAAACAAAAAACUAUGAUUGCUAGGUGGGGCAAUAGAAAUUUAAAUCAAACAGGAUUAGGCUAAAAAAUGGUUCAACCGGUUGAACCAGGUUGUACCAAACAGUUCAACCGGGUUAACUAGUUAACUCUAUAAUUUCAUAAAUUACAACAUCAACUCAAAAGUUAAUCUAGAAAUGCAUGAUUACAUAUUAAAAGAUAAUCCAAAAGUUAAAUCAUAAUAACAAAUAAUCUAAAAAAUAAUAAAAAAUCAUUCAAUUUUUCAGCAAGCUCUUUCAAAUGAAAGUGUACAAUAUGUUUAAUUCAUUUGAGUGUUGAAUACAUCAAGUUUAUGAUCGCAUAAAAGUAGGGGCGGACCCACCCUAAGCCGCGGGUGGGCGGGCGUACCCCUUGGAAAAAAAGGUUUUAAUGUUAUUUUUCGUUGGAAAUCCCGACCGCAUCCCUUGAAAAAUUUUAUCCGCACCUCUUGAAAAUUUUGACCCCAUGAUAAAGAAGAUAU